GCAGCUAUGGGACUGGUGGGUGAGAGAUUUGUCCUGUCUGUGGGCCAGGCAAGACCAAAAAACUCCAGCUACAGCUCUGCCCAGGUCCCUCAGAGUGUAACAAGUCAGCUCAUCUAGCGGAAAGUUUACCCAGCAAAAGUGGUACAGCUCUGCUCCACUCUGCCCUGUCUCCUGAAAGUUGUUACAGCUGGGAUCCAAUCUGGCAAAAGUGUCAGACCCCACACAACAGAUCCCACUCAAGAGAUUUAUUGGGAAGGAAGAGUCCAGGAGGGGAGCUGCCUCUAGUGAGAAGCAGCAGCAAACAGAACAAGGUAAUUGGAUUUUUUAGGGUGUGGGGGGGGCAGGGGAGUUCUUUCCAGGAUGGCUUGCAGUUGGAGGGAUUUUGUGCUCAGGGACCUCAUGGAUUGGUGGGAUUCGGCAGCCUGACUCUAGAGUAAGCUCAGAGAUUGGUAGGAUUUUAAGUCCUGGUCCUGGGGUCAAGUCAGGGUCAGGGUGCUUUUCCUUAGCUCUGGUCUCAGGUCUGGUCAGGGUUAGGGUAUAUUUUCCUUGUCCCUAUAUUUUCCUUGCCCUGUAGCCCCUGCCUGGUAUUUUCAUUUUAAACUACAUGGUUUUGGGCAGCAUUCAAAUGUGUUUUUCACCCAAAGUAAUUGGUAAGCCCUAUUUUGUAUCACAAUAUUAAAAAUAACAAAUAAAAGAUCACAAGGCAACAAUCUGACAGAGUCUGCCUGUGCUUUGAUGCCAUGAAACCUGUGCCAGGGGCGAGUGUCAGGAAGGAGAUCCUUACCUCUUCCAGGCAAGGCAGCUUUGACAGCCAAAGCAUUUUGUUGUAGGUCAUAUACACAUGUAACAUAUGUGUGCAUAUAUAUGAUAUACAUAUAUACUAUAUACAUAUAUACAAUUGAGUGUGUGUGUGCGUAUGAAAUUUUUGAGGAUUCUGAUGUCUAUUUUUCUAUUAUUAAAGAACACCAAAAGUGGAGUGUACAUGUAACUAAAGAUGUGGUCUAUAUAAAUAGCUAUUCAAUGUUUCUUCUUCAUUCUACACUAAUUUGAACAAAACUUGGAACUAAUCAAUUUCAUUGUAAAAUUUGAAAUAAAGUAAUAAAUACCAAAUGAUUAUCUUUAAAUUUAUAUUUUGUUUUUAUUUUUAAUGAAACAAAACCAAUCAUAAUGUACUAAUUUUAAAAGUUAUCAUCUAGGAAAUGAAAGGGAAGAAGAAGGGAGGAAAGAAUUGAGGAUGGGAAAAAAGUAGCCACCUUUAUCUUUGUAUUUAUGCAUGUUAGUUAUCUCAUUUGGGAUUAAUGCCCCUUUUGCCAGAGAAUCAGCAUGUUCAAACUAUGUGAUAAUAUUUUGUAAUAAAACAGUUGAAAGUGGGAUGUAAUAAAGGAACGCAUGAUUAACUGAUAAUUGAAACUACAUUAAAUCUUGAUAGACCUUAAUAGGUGUCUAAAUACAUUAGAAAAGUUUCUAGUUAGUUGUUGUUUAUUUUGAAUUUUGUAUCUGAGUAGUUCAGUAGCACACAUUGAUCUCAAUGGGUGGAAAGUGCAAUGGCACAGAGUCAGAUGGAUAUGGAGGGAGUGGAUCUGAGAAGAGCUGGAGGAGGUUGUGAAUGUGAUUAAUACAUGCUUUACAAAAUUCUCAAAUAAUUAAUAAAAUUACUUUUAAAUGAGGAAACUCAACUUCUUCUUGGUGGUGCUCUGACUGCUGUUUUCACUCUGAGGGUUCUUCCUUGGUGUGGGCUGUGUCGCCUGGUGCUGGUCUACUUGUGUGCAACAGAAACAGACAAACUUGGCACUGUUCCUCUGGACAGGAAGUCCACUAUUCACGCUUUCCCGUGAAAAGGGAUUAAAAUUCCCUUUGUUAGGAGCAAAGAGUCUGUGUGGUUUGACUCUGUGCCUACUUGGUCCCCUCCCCCAAAUGGAACAACAGCACAGGACCCUGCCACAUCUGAUGCCGAAACCCAGCGCUGUUUCUCUCCCUUUCUUGAUGCACAGCGCUGGUGGAGCAGCGCCCUUGAACAGUCAAUUUCAGAGACUCCAUUGCCCUUGUUGUGUUGGAGGGAUCCCAUCACCCUUCAAUGGCAAACCCCUGCUCCCCUUUUAACCUGGGGAUGAAGGUAUGCUUGCAUUUUCUCCAGAAUACCACCACACUAAUAUGGAUACCCUCCAGAGAUGUGCUUCUGGCAGCAUACCAAGAGAAUUUGACAAAAGAAGAAGCUUCAGAAGGGUUUCUUUGAUGGAAUCAUUGCAAAAGAGGGAGCAGAAGGAUUUUAAAAGCCAGAGAAUUGGGGAGCUUGCUCUAUUAUGUGUCUAGUAAUGUCAUAAGCUACACCUAUAAAGUCUCACCAGCAUGACUGCCUAAAGGCGAUUGGCGCUGAGAGAAAACAAUGAAGAGAAACGUUUAAAUACUUCACGACUAUAGAACAGAUUUGAGUGAAGUGAAUACAUGUGAAAGCUGGAGGAGAAAGAAGAAAAGUGGCUCUCAAACAAUCACCCCCAGGUCUUCAUCUUUAUAUUUGGACUUAAUCCAGUCUCAUAGACUAAGCAGUUACCAAGUUCUCAGUCUGUGUAUUAUGAAGAGAAGCGUUAUUAGGCUACUCAAAGUGCAUCAUGUUACCCAAUGUAACAAACUUCUUUUCAAUACAUUUGUUCUUUUGGUUUGUUCUUCUAUAAAACUCUUACUAACAC